UGACAGCCAGGAUAACCAAUGGAGCUCCUGAUGUGGGGAGGCAGCAAGGCUCUGAAGGUCUGUUGCUGGAAGUAAUGGUGGAAGAGGAAUUUUGGUGCUCUGCUUGUGAACUUUCUAGAAGUUUCUGAUUGCCUGGAAACCGGAUGUAUGUGCGGUGAUUGCAAUGGCUACUUGAAUGAGCACCCUCAUAUUUUCUGCUUUUGUGUAUCUCCCCACUCUGCGCGUAACAAGCUGUUUCUAGAGUUGGAUGCCCGGCUCCCUGGUAAGGCAGGCUCAUUGCUGUGGAGUGAUAGAUUUGUGCCUUCGACUUUCAGGAACAGAGGAGUGGAGGAUUCCCGGCCCCAGCGUGCUCGGAGGCAGGCGGCCAGAAGGCGAGAAGCUCAGCCCCGCGCCUGAGUGGCACCGGGACCGGGGAGGAGCCGACGACUCAGCCGGCUUGCCUUGCCUAGCCAGCGAGUUCAUUCCGCCGCGCUCCUCCUGAGCGGCUGGGGAGAGAGACGGCGAGGGGGAGGCGCGGGCAGGGAGCCUCGGCUGACAAAGGGCUGCGGACGGCUCCAAGCAAAACGGCUCGGACGGAGAAGACGGGGAGGAGGAGGCAGCCCGCGCUGCCUUCCCCGGGCGGGGCUUUUUCUCGGAGACUCGCGCAGUCCGUGGAGGAGCGCGAGCAGCUGAGGCUGAGGCUGCAGGGAGAGAGCUCCGCGAGGACGUCCGCCCAGAUGACGGCGCGGUGAAGAAGUGCGCGGAUUUUGUGCGCUGCUGCCCGGGCCGGCGGUUUUCAGCUGUGCUCGGUCGGGAGGACUCCGCCGGGGUUUGUUCCCUCUGACGCACCUCGGGCACCUUGUCUUGGCACUGGCACGGCACGGUGUGGCAGCUGCCUUCGCUGCCUGCCGGGGUUGGUUGGUUUGGUUAGAGGCAGCGAUAGGCUGGGUGUGAUCUGGACAACGAGACCUGUGUGACGACCUGACUGCUGUGAAAUGCUCGCCGGAGCGGCACCCGGACGUCCACUUGCUGCACCUUGAGCGGGAAACACGCAGAGGCCGAGGCGCCGUGCUGACUUGCCGCCUGCGAAUCUCUUCCCCGUAACAAGGUCCGUGCCAGGAAAGUGCAAAGAGUGUGAAUUGACACUUCAGGAUUAUCCUCGAUAGGAAGUUUCUCAGGCUGCGCUUUGAACGCCUCGGGCUGCGGAGAAAACNGCUGGUGAGGCUUCCCAAGGCUUCUGAUUGAGCUUCUCCGCUCCUGAGCCAAUUUAAGUAGGAGACAGGAAUCUCCCUCAGGCAGCAAAGAGACCCUUUGACUGCCCUUCNCCAAGCCCCGUUCCAGCUGGUAAGGAUCGUUUCUCCUCUCACAACUUGCCUUUUGGAGAACGAAGGGAAAGACGGUGAGGUUCCAGCCGGCA
rnacentral:lncRNA from 1 species